rnacentral:rRNA from 1 species
UACGUAGGGUGCGAGCGUUAAUCGGAAUUACUGGGCGUAAAGGGUGCGCAGGCGGUUCUGCAAGUCAGGCGUGAAAGCCCCGGGCUUAACCUGGGAAUGGCACUUGAAACUACAGGACUGGAGUAUGGCAGAGGGAGGUGGAAUUCCACGUGUAGCGGUGAAAUGCGUAGAGAUGUGGAGGAACACCGAUGGCGAAGGCAGCCUCCUGGGCCAAUACUGACGCUCAUGCACGAAAGCGUGGGGAGCAAACAGG